rnacentral:rRNA from 1 species
CCAGCAGCCGCGGUAAUACGUAGGUCUCAAGCGUUAUCCGGAUUUACUGGGCGUAAAGCGUCCGCAGGUGGUUUGACAAGUCAAAGGUUAAAGCCUGGAGCUCAACUCCAGUUCGCCUUCGAAACUGUUAGACUAGAGUGUGAUAGGGGGUAGUGGAAUUCGAUGUGUAGCGGUGGAAUGCAUAGAUAUAUCGAGGAACACCAGUGGCGAAGGCGGCUACCUGGGUCAUCACUGACACUCAUGGACGAAAGCGUGGGGAGCAAACAGGAUUAGAUACCCUGGUAGUCCACGCCGUAAACGAUGAUUACUAGAUGUUGGGCGAAAGCUCAGUGUCCAAGGGAAACCGAUAAGUAAUCCACCUGGGGAGUACGCCGGCAACGGUGAAACUCAAAGGAAUUGACGGGGGCCCGCACAAGCGGUGGAGCAUGUGGUUUAAUUCGAAGAUACGCGAAGAACCUUACCAAGGCUUGACAUUUUAUUUAAGAUAUUAAGAGAUUAAUAUUGUCAUUUAGUUGGAAUAAAACAGGUGCUGCAUGGCUGUCGUCAGCUCGUGUCGUGAGAUGUUGGGUUAAGUCCCGCAACGAGCGCAACCCUCAUUUUUAGUUGCUAACAGGUUAAGCUGAGCACUCUAAAGAAACUGCUGGUGUUAAACCAGAGGAAGGUGGGGAUGACGUCAAGUCCUCAUGGCCCUUAUGCCUUGGGCUACACACGUGCUACAAUGGUAGUGACAACGAGUUGCAAGUUCGCAAGGAUGAGCUAAUCUUGAAAAGCUACCUCAGUUCGGAUUGUACUCUGAAACUCGAGUACAUGAAGUUGGAAUCGCUAGUAAUCGCAAAUCAGCAUGUUGCGGUGAAUACGUUCCCGGGUCUUGUACACACCGCCCGUCACACCAUGGGAGCUGAUUUUACCUUAAGCUGGUGCACCAACCGCAAGGAGGAAGCCAACCAAGGUAGGAUUAGUGACUGGGGUGAAGUCGAAACAAGGUAGCCGUAGAGGAACCUGCGGCUG